ensembl:snRNA U1 U1 spliceosomal RNA
AUACUAACCUGCCAGGGGAGAUGACAUCAUCAGGAAGGUAGUUUUUCCAGGGCAGGGCUUGUCAGCUGUUCUAUGAAUGUGUUGACCCCUGCAAUGUCCCCAAGAGUGGGAAAUGCCACUCCAUAAUCUGUGACAGUGAGCAGCUGAGGUCACAGCUUCCUC